rnacentral:lncRNA from 1 species
AGUGUGGUGGAGGUUGUGAGGCAAAAAGGAGGAGAUGGUCACAUUGACUCGGCGUAUCAACGGGCUAUGGACAUGCCCAUCAAUAGAUAUCAAUGUAAAUGAGUAGGGAUUACCAUGCAACGGAUGCACUUAGAGCUAUAAGUGUGUGAAAGCUCAAAAGGAGAACUAGUGGGUGUGCACCCAACUUGCUUGCUCAUGAAGACUUAGGGCAAUUUUGAGGAAGCCCAUCAUUGGAAUAUACAAGCCAAGUUAUAUAAUGAAAAUUCCCACUAGUAUAUGGAAGUGACAAAACAAGAGACUCUCUAUCAUGAAGAACAUGGUGCUAUUUUGAAGCACAAGUGUGGAAAAAGAUAGUAGCAUUGUCCCUUCUCUCUUUUUCUCUCAUUUUUUUUGUUUGGCCUCUUUGACCUCUUUUUUUCAAUUUCUUUUGGUGGGCAUCUUUGGCCUCUUUUUUCACAUGGGACAAUGCUCUAAUAAUGACGAUCAUCACACUUUUAUUUACACACAACUCAAUACUUAGAACAAUGAUGACUCUAUAUGAAAUGCCAUCGAUAGUGUAUCAGGAUGUGCAACGAUCUAGCUUAGCGUAUGACGUUGAAACAUCUCGCUAGCUAUCUUACGAUCAUGCAAUGGCAAUAUGAAACUGACGGCAGAUGUAAUGAGAUGGAAUGGUGGAAGUUGCAUGGCAAUAUAUCUCGGAAUGGCUAUGAAAAUGCCAUAAUAGGUAGGUAUGGUGGCUGUUUUGAGAAAGGUAUAUGGUGGGUUUGUGCACCGGCGAAAGUUGCGCGGCACUAGAGAAGCUAGCAAUGGUGGAAGGUGAGAGUGCAUCUAUACCAUGGACUCACAUUAGUCAUGAAGAACUCAUAUUCUUAUUGCAAAAGUUUUAUUAGUAAUCGAAACAAAGUGCUAAACACAUACUCCUAGGGGAAGGGUUGGUAGGUGUUAACCAUCGCGCGAUCCCGACCGCCACACAAAGGAUGACAAUCAAUAAAUCAAUUAUGCUGCGACUUCCUAACAUAGCGGUUCACCAUACGUGCAUGCUACGGGAAUCACUAAGCUCAACACAAGUAUUUCUAGAUUCACAACACCCUACUAACAUAACUCUAAUAUUACCAUAUCCAUAUCUCAAAACUAAUUGUGAGGAAUCAAACUUCUCUUACUAAUCAAUGCACAAGAAUAUGGAAGUUUUUAUUAUAUCCUCUUUGGAUGCCUAUCAUAUUCAGGACUAGUUUCAUAGCACACGCCAAUUACCAUGUUGUUUAAGACUCUCAAAAGAUAUAAGUAAAGAUCGAGAGUUUUUAUUUCUACAAAAUAUGACACCGCUGUGCUCUAAAAAGAUAUAAGUGAAGCACUAGAGCAAAGUUAUCUAGCUCAAAAGAUAUAAGUGAAGCUCAAUGAGUAUUCUAGCAAAUUCACGAUGAGUGCAUGUCCCUCUCAAAAAGGUGUGCAGCAAGGAUGAUGGUGACAAAACAAAAAGCAAAGACUCCUAUAAUACACGACGCUCCAAGCAAAACACAUAUCAUGUGGUGAAUAAAAAUAUAGCCCCAAGUAAAGUUACCGAUGGAUUGAAGACGAAAGAGGGGAUGCCUUCCCGGGGCAUCCCCAAGAUUAGGCUCUUUGGUGUCCUUGAAUAUGG